GGAGGAGAGGUAAGAGCCGAUUUCACCUUCUCAAACGCGUUCAUGUGUUCGGGACACCAUGAAAACACAUUCUUUGUUUUUUAGCAAGCCUGUGAGGGGUUCAGCAUUGUGAGCAAUCUCGGUCGAAAAUUGACCCAACUGGUUGACAAGACCCAUAAACGACCUCAGGUCUUGACGAUCCUCUGGGCGAGGGAAUCUCGAGAUGGCGGCAACUUUCUCGCGAUCGGCCUUAAUACUAUUGCGAGAUGUACGAUAUCCGACAAAAUCAAUCUCUUCUGCCCCGCCAAUGCGCUCUUUUUGGCAUUGACGGUCAAGCCGAAACGGACACAACGUUCCAGAAUCUCACAGGUAACGCGAACCAGGUCAGGAUACAAUUCCUUUCCCACAGCCAUAUCGUUAAUAACCUUUUGAAUGCCGAGACCAGACAUUGCGACAUCGCCUCUAUAAGAGAAGGAAUCACCGGUUGAAAUAAAUUCCAUGGGUGAACGGAAAAAACAAUGCUUCUCAAAAGGAGUAAUGAAAGUGGCCAGUGGCAUUUGCCAGUAGCCUUUGACCAGAUCCAACUUGAUGAAAUAAAUAGCCUCGAAUGGAGUCUUGAUGGGAUGAUAAGAACAAACGACUUCAGUAUUCAAUCUGGUUAAGUCAACACACAGGCAGUAAGAUCCCUCUGGUUUUGGUACAACAACCAAGGGAUGGCACCAAGGUGUGGGAAUAUCACCCACGGGUUCUAUUAUCCGACUAUCAACCAUCUUAUCCAAACUGGAUUUGACGGGGUCCAAUUGAGGUAUUGGGAUUUGAUGCGCAGUACUAAUGGCAAACGAUAUUGCUGCUUCCUUCAAGUUGAUGACCAUAGGAUCACCCACGGUUGGACCGCGCAUGGGUUUUAAACUUGAAUAAUCAAAUGCAUCGACUUAAGUUUGGAUUCAACGUUUAUGAAGUCUUCCCUAGAAGGCAAAGAAGAAAUCAUUGUUUGUGGAAAAUUGGGUCCAACAACACCCAGGGCCCGACAAGCAUCCAAAGUUCAGAUAUUAGCCGUCAAUAUCAUAACUGACCACUAUUGUUACGUCUUGGGCCUUAUGAUCCUCGUCUAAAGACAAGUAAGCUCGCAACGAACCAACCAAGCUAAGAGAUCGACCAUCAACACCAGAAAUGGUGGAGUUUGACGAACGUUGAUCAAGAGUGCUCCCGUAUCAGCGCAGAACCGAAUGCUGACCAACUUGGACGAUUCGUGGGGUGAAACCAUAACGUUGAUGCGGUUCUCGCGCUCACGAGCGGAAGACGAAGCCACUUGGAGAUGUACCCCACCCGCACGUUUCUCCUCUCUCCUUGAACGACUCUUUUGACGGCAGACGGGUUGCCAAUGCCCAGUACGACCACAUGCAUGGCAAGACAAUUUCAAUGCCGGACAAUCCUCACGAGAAUGGGUCUUGGAAAGACCACACAGCAGGCACUGCUCGGACGGUAAAGUCUUGUUAAAAGUCAUCUUACCCGACUUCCCCCCAUUCUUCAU